CAACCAAAUGAAAUGUACAGUCCCUGAUAAUGUUUCUUAUUAAUUAUGUGGCCAUUUACUCUGUUUCCCUCUGUUUAUCUGCCCCAUGGCAGGCAGGAUGUGAACGGAUGGCCCACUUGAUCCCCUAUGUGUCUGAGCAGGAACACAACCACACGGAGGAUUAGAGAGAGAGAGGAUCGGCCAUCACAUCCAGAUGAUGCAAAUCUGCUCCCUGCUUCACAUGUGAAUAGGGACAGCUUUACGGUGGAUUGGAAGUUAACAUGAGGAUGACAAGAACCCCUUGGAACUGUGAUUGAAUUGGCAGUGAGCCCAAAUCCUCAUUCCAAAGAGUGAAA
rnacentral:lncRNA from 1 species